UGGGGAAUAUUGCACAAUGGGCGCAAGCCUGAUGCAGCAACGCCGCGUGAGUGAUGAAGGUCUUCGGGUUGUAAAGCUCUGUCUUUUGGGACGAUAAUGACGGUACCAAAGGAGGAAGCCACGGCUAACUACGUGCCAGCAGCCGCGGUAAUACGUAGGUGGCAAGCGUUGUCCGGAUUUACUGGGCGUAAAGGAUGCGUAGGCGGAUUUUUAAGUGAGAUGUGAAAACCCUAAGCUUAACUUGGGGACUGCAUUUCAUACUGGAAAUCUAGAGUGCGGGAGAGGAGAAUGGAAUUCCUAGUGUAGCGGUGAAAUGCGUAGAGAUUAGGAAGAACACCAGUGGCGAAGGCGAUUCUCUGGACCGUAACUGACGCUGAGGCAUGAAAAGCGUGGGUAGCAAACAGGAUUAGAUACCCUGGUAGUCCACGCCGUAAACGAUGAGUACUAGGUGUAGGAGGUAUCGACCCCUUCUGUGCCGCAGUUAACACAAUAAGUACUCCGCCUGGGAAGUACGAUCGCAAGAUU
rnacentral:rRNA from 1 species